UCGGUAGGUGAACCUGCGGAGGGAUCAUUACACAAAUAUGAAGGCGGGCUGGAACCUCUCGGGGUUACAGCCUUGCUGAAUUAUUCACCCUUGUCUUUUGCGUACUUCUUGUUUCCUUGGUGGGUUCGCCCACCACUAGGACAAACAUAAACCUUUUGUAAUUGCAAUCAGCGUCAGUAACAAAUUAAUAAUUACAACUUUCAACAACGGAUCUCUUGGUUCUGGCAUCGAUGAAGAACGCAGCGAAAUGCGAUAAGUAGUGUGAAUUGCAGAAUUCAGUGAAUCAUCGAAUCUUUGAACGCACAUUGCGCCCUUUGGUAUUCCAAAGGGCAUGCCUGUUCGAGCGUCAUUUGUACCCUCAAGCUUUGCUUGGUGUUGGGCGUCUUGUCUCUAGCUUUGCUGGAGACUCGCCUUAAAGUAAUUGGCAGCCGGCCUACUGGUUUCGGAGCGCAGCACAAGUCGCACUCUCUAUCAGCAAAGGUCUAGCAUCCAUUAAGCCUUUUUUUCAACUUUUGACCUCGGAUCAGGUAGGGAUACCCGCUGAACUUAAGCAUAUCAAUAAGCGGAGGA
rnacentral:rRNA from 1 species